rnacentral:rRNA from 1 species
UGUGCAGGCGGCUGGUCAAGUGGUGUAUGAAAGGGCCGGGCUUAACCCGGUCAGGGUAUGCCAGACUGGUCAGCUGGGGUGCGGGAGAGGGACGUGGAAUUCCGGGUGUAGUGGUGAAAUGCGUAGAGAUCCGGAGGAACCCCAGAGGCGAAGGCGGCGUCCUGGCCCGACACCGACGCUCAGACACGACAGCAUGGGGAGCGAACG